UACGGAGGAUCCGAGCGUUAUCCGGAUUUAUUGGGUUUAAAGGGUGCGCAGGCGGGAGAUUAAGUCGGUGGUGAAAUUUUGCAGCUCAACUGUAAAAGUGCCUUCGAAACUGGUUUCCUUGAGUGUAGAUGAAGUAGGCGGAAUUUGUGGUGUAGCGGUGAAAUGCAUAGAUAUCACGAGGAACUCCGAUUGCGAAGGCAGCUUACUAAGCUACUACUGACGCUCAGGCACGAAGGCGUGGGGAUCAAACAGGAUUAGAUACCCUGGUA
rnacentral:rRNA from 1 species